rnacentral:rRNA from 1 species
CCCUUAGAUGUCCUGGGCUGCACGCGCGCUACACUGAUGUGUCCAGUAAGCACCUAACCUCUUCCGAAAGGAACGGGUAACCUUUGCAAAGCACAUCGUGAUGGGGAUAGAUUAUUGCAAUUAUUAGUCUUGAACGAGGAAUUCCUAGUAAGCACAAGUCAUCAGCUUGUGUUGAUUACGUCCCUGCCCUUUGUACACACCGCCCGUCGCUCCUACCGAUUGAAUGUUCCGGUGAGCUCUUCGGACUGCGCGGUCUGCAGUUUCUGCGUUCCGUGCGGAAAGUUGCGCAAACCUUAACAUUUAGGGGGAGGAGAAGUCGUAACA